rnacentral:rRNA from 1 species
UACAGAGGUCUCAAGCGUUGUUCGGAUUCAUUGGGCGUAAAGGGCGCGUAGGCGGCGGGGCAAGUCGGGUGUGAAAUCUCAGGGCUCAACCCUGAAACUGCACUCGAUACUGCUCUGCUUGAGGACUGGAGAGGAGACUGGAAUUCACGGUGUAGCAGUGAAAUGCGUAGAUAUCGUGAGGAAGACCAGUGGCGAAGGCGGGUCUCUGGACAGUUCCUGACGCUGAGGGCGCGAAGGCCAGGGGGAGCAAACGGGG